rnacentral:rRNA from 1 species
AUUGAACGCUGGCGGCAGGCCUAACACAUGCAAGUCGAACGAGUGGCGGACGGGUGCGUAAUGUCUGGGAAACUGCCCGAUGGAGGGGGAUAACUACUGGAAACGGUAGCUAAUACCGCAUACCCUCAGAUGUGCCCCAAGUGGAUUAGCUAGUAGGUGGGUGAACGGCUCACCUAGGCGACGAUCCCUAGCUGGUAUGAGAGGAUGACCAUCAACACUGGAAAUGAUACACGGUCCAGACUCCUACGGGAGGCAGCAGUGGGGAAUAUUGCACAAUGGGCGCAAGCCUGAUGCAGCCAUGCCGCGUGUGUGAAGAAGGCCUUAGGGUUGUAAAGCACUUUCAGCGGGGAGGCGUUACCCGCAGAAGAAGCACCGGCUAACUCCGUGCCAGCCGCCGCGGUAAUUC